rnacentral:tRNA from 1 species
AAAGGGUCACUGUGAUAAAGUGAACAUAGAGGUACACCAGCCCUCUCAUUUCCU